rnacentral:rRNA from 1 species
CCUACGGGGGGCAGCAGUAGGGAAUCUUCCACAAUGGGCGAAAGCCUGACGGAGCAACGCCGCGUGGGUGAUGACGGCCUUCGGAUUGUAAAACUCUGUUUCUAGAGAAGAAAGUUCCUGUGAGUAAUCGUUCACGUUUCGACGGUAUCUAACAAGAAAGCCACGGCUAACUACGUUCCAGCAGCCGCGGUAAUACGGAGGUUGCAAGCGUUAUUCGGAUUUAUUGGGGGUAAAGGGAACGCAGGCGGGCUUUUAAGUCUGAUGUGAAAGCGUUCGGCUUAACCGGAGUAGUGCAUUGGAAACUGGGGGACUUGAGUGCAGAAGAGGAGAGUGGAACUCCAUGUGUAGCGGUGAAAUGCGUAGAUAUAUGGAAGAACACCAGUGGCGAAGGCGGCUCUCUGGACUGUAACUGACGCUGAGGUUCGAAAGCGUGGGUAGCAAACAGGAUUAGAUACCCUAGUAGUC